rnacentral:rRNA from 1 species
GACGAACGCUGGCGGCGUGCCUAACACAUGCAAGUCGAACGGAACUUCUUUAAAGGAUUUCUUCGGAAUGAAUUUGAUUAAGUUUAGUGGCGGACGGGUGAGUAACGCGUGAGUAACCUGCCUCUAAGAGGGGAAUAACAUUCUGAAAAGAAUGCUAAUACCGCAUAAUAUAUAUUUAUCGCAUGGUAGAUAUAUCAAAGAUUUAUCGCUUAGAGAUGGACUCGCGUCCGAUUAGUUAGUUGGUGAGGUAACGGCUCACCAAGACCGCGAUCGGUAGCCGGACUGAGAGGUUGAACGGCCACAUUGGGACUGAGACACGGCCCAGACUCCUACGGGAGGCAGCAGUGGGGGAUAUUGCGCAAUGGGGGAAACCCUGACGCAGCAACGCCGCGUGAAGGACGAAGGUCUUCGGAUUGUAAACUUCUUUUAUUAAGGACGAAGAAAGUGACGGUACUUAAUGAAUAAGCUC